UGGAACUGCAGGGGUAGAAGAACCCUGGAAAUUUGGCCUCAGAAAACACCAAGAGGUGGAAUUGCAGGGCUAGAGGAACCCUGGAAAUUCGGCCUCAGAAAACACCAGGAGAACUGCUGUGCUAGAAGAUCCCUGGAAAUUCGGCCUCAGAAAUAACCAAGAGGUGGAACUGCAGGGCUAGAAGAACCCUGGAAAUUUGGCCUCAGAAAACACCAAGAGGU